rnacentral:miRNA from 1 species
UAACAGAGCAACUGCGCCCGGG